AUUGAACGCUGGCGGCAGGCCUAACACAUGCAAGUCGAGUGAGCGGCGGACGGGUGAGUAAUUACUGGGAGACUGCCUGAUGGAGGGGGAUAACUACUGGAAAAGGUAGCUAACACCGCAUACCAUCAGAUGUGCCCAGAUGGGAUUAGCUAGUAGGUGGGGUAACGGCUCACCUAGGCGACGAUCCCUAGCUGGUCUGAGAGGAUGAACAGCCAAACUGGAACUGAGACACGGUCCAGACUCCUACGGGAGGCAGCAGUGGGGAAUAUUGCACAAUGGGCGCAAGCCUGAUGCAGCCAUGCCGCGUGUAUGAAGAAGGCCUUCGGGUUGUAAAGUACUUUCAGCGGGGAGGCGUUACCCGCAGAAGAAGCACCGGCUAACUCCGUGCCAGCAGCCGCGGUAAUUC
rnacentral:rRNA from 1 species